UACGUAGGUGGCAAGCGUUGUCCGGAUUUACUGGGCGUAAAGAGCGCGCAGGCGGUCGAUUUAGUCGCGUGUGAAAGCCCCCGGCUCAACUGGGGAGGGUCACGCGAUACUGAUCGACUCGAAGGCAGGAGAGGGUAGUGGAAUUCCCGGUGUAGUGGUGAAAUGCGUAGAUAUCGGGAGGAACACCAGUGGCGAAGGCGGCCAACUGGGAUACACCUGACGCUGAGGCACGAAGGCGUGGGGAGCGAACGGG
rnacentral:rRNA from 1 species